AUAUAAGUAAGCAGCGGACAAGAAACUAAACAGGAUCCCCACAGUAAUGGCGAAUGAGCAGGGAUGAGCUCAGCAUGGAAAUUGGGGCCUGUGGCCUUGACUUGUAAGCUGGUGAGGCAUUGCCAACAGAGGCGCAGAUGUAAGUCUCUUGGAACAGAGCAUCACUGAGGGUGAGAGUCCUGUUUGCCAUUUGCAGCCCCCUGUGCACGGUGUGCCUACAGCGAGUCACGUUCCUCGGGAUUGGAGCGCAAAGUGGGUGGUAACUUUCAUCUGAAGCUAAACAUUGGUUUAAGACCGAUAGGAAACAAGUACCAUGAGGGAAAGGUGAAAAGGACUUUGGAAAGAGAGUUAAAAGUGCCUGAAAUUGCUGAAAGGGAAGCGAAUGGAACCAGUGGUGAUGGUGAGAUUGUCAUAUGCUAUAAUGAUUGGUUGCUGGUUUGUCGCAAGUGUUCUGGUAAGCAUUGAUCUGUAAGUGUGUGGUGUGUCUCGCCUUGAUUGUCAUCGAGGGCUCCUGCAUUAAGACAUUUCAAAGUUCAGGGUAAUAUGUUUGCGAAGGUAUGAAUGUGCUUUGCUAUGUUUAUGCAGAAGCUUCCUCUUGUAUGUCUGGCUGCCGUGCUCUGCACCCCCAUACCAGGGAAGCGAGCAUGCCAUUUCUGCACAGCUGAUGACUAAAUGAUUCUAUUCGACCCGUCUUGAAACACGGACCAAGGAGUCUAGCAUAAGUGCAAGUUCAUGGGUUGCAGACCUGUGUGCACAAUGAAAGUGACUGCUGGGAUCUGUGUGCCAGCAACCGACCAAUCAAUUGAGAGAGGUUUGAGUAUGAGCAUUUCUGUUAGGACCCGAAAGAUGGUGAACUAUGCCUGAGAAGGGCAAACUCAGGGGAAACUCUGAUGGAGGCUCGUAGCGGUACUGACGUGCAAAUCGUUCGUCAUACUUGGGUAUAGGGGCGAAAGACUAAUCGAACCAUCUAGUAGCUGGUUCCCUCUGAAGUUUCCCUCAGGAUAGCUGGAGUUGAACAGUUUUAUCAGGUAAAGCGAAUGAUUAGAGGAAUCGGGGGCGCGCCGUUCUCGACCUAUUCUCAAACUUUUAAUGGGUACGAUCCAGUGGUUACUUGUGUGAACUUCUGGGGCACAUGUUGAUUCCAAGUGGGA
rnacentral:rRNA from 1 species